rnacentral:tmRNA from 1 species
GGGGCUGAUGAGUUUCGACAGGGAUCGAUCUUUGAAAGGGGAGCAUGCCGAGGUUGUGAGGAGGCCUCGUGAAACACCUCACACUACAAUAAAAGCUGAUAAACUCAGCUGGGCGAAUCGGUCUUUCGGACCGGUCGCUCUUCCUCUCGCCGUCUAAAGUACGGCGACAUCUCUGGGGGCUUCGGCCCGUGGGCCUCUUGGGGUGACGAAUCAACGGGCUCGGUUCAGGCAAUCGCUUUCAGGGCCUGGACUCAGCCGAAUGAAAGCUGGUUCCGAAAAAUCCUCUCUAUGGGAGUUUUGGGAACGAGAUCAAAUCAUAGGGUAAGCAUGUAGCGCUUCUUCAGGGAGGUUCUCUGGACGCGGGUGCAAGUCCCGCCAGCUCCAG